UGACAUACCUAAACGUUGCUUCGGCGGGAACAGACGGCCCCGUGAAACGGGCCGCCCCCGCCAGAGGACCCCUAACUCUGUUUCUAUAAUGUUUCUUCUGAGUAAAACAAGCAAAUAAAUUAAAACUUUCAACAACGGAUCUCUUGGCUCUGGCAUCGAUGAAGAACGCAGCGAAAUGCGAUAAGUAAUGUGAAUUGCAGAAUUCAGUGAAUCAUCGAAUCUUUGAACGCACAUUGCGCCCGCCAGUAUUCUGGCGGGCAUGCCUGUUCGAGCGUCAUUACAACCCUCAGGCCCCCGGGCCUGGCGUUGGGGAUCGGCGGAGCCCCCCGUGGGCACACGCCGUCCCCCAAAUACAGUGGCGGUCCCGCCGCAGCUUCCAUCGCGUAGUAGCUAACACCUCGCGACUGGAGAGCGGCGCGGCCACGCCGUAAAACACCCAACUCUUCUGAAGUUGACCUCGAAUCAGGUAGGAAUACCCGCUGAACUUAAGCAUAUCAAUAAGCGGGGG
rnacentral:rRNA from 1 species